GACGAACGCUGGCGGCGUGCUUAACACAUGCAAGUCGAACGGAAAGGCCCUGCUUUUGUGGGGUGCUCGAGUGGCGAACGGGUGAGUAACACGUGAGUAACCUGCCCUUGACUUUGGGAUAACUUCAGGAAACUGGGGCUAAUACCGGAUAGGAGCUCCUGCUGCAUGGUGGGGGUGGGAAAGUUUCGGCGGUUGGGGAUGGACUCGCGGCUUAUCAGCUUGUUGGUGGGGUAGUGGCUUACCAAGGCUGUGACGGGUAGCCGGCCGGAGAGGGUGACCGGCCACAUUGGGCCUGAGAUACGGCCCAGACUCCUACGGGAGGCAGCAGUGGGGAAUAUUGCACAAUGGGCGGAAGCCUGAUGCAGCAACGCCGCGUGCGGGAUGACGGCCUUCGGGUUGUAAACCGCUUUCGCCUGUGACGAAGCGUGAGUGACGGUAAUGGGUAAAGAAGCACCGGCUAACUACGUG
rnacentral:rRNA from 1 species